UCAUCCCCUUCUCCUCCUGCCUUCAAUCUUUCCCAGCAUCAGGGUCUUUUCAAAUGAGUCAGCUCUUUGCAUCAGCAUAUUAAUCAUAAUUAAAAAAAAUCCUAAACUGUUAAUUCUAACAUUCAUGCCGUACUGGACUCCAAUUUGUUCUGCCUCGUCAAACUGUGUUUUUUGUCUUUUAGUGUGCCUUGUAGUUAUUUGCUGCAAGGCAGAUAUGAAGUGCUGGGUAAAAGGGAUUAUGGUAAAUAGGCCUUUAGUAAUGUGGUGGGAACGUGGGAAAGCAUUCUGUAGGUCUGUGAUUAGGUCUCCUCUUUUGGUGAGCCUGUCCUAUUAGAUUGUGAACCUCACCAGUACUUUUCAGGUUUUUCUCCCCACAGGUGGGGCAGGAUGACUACAGGGGGCUGGAAUUGUUCUAUUCUCUCUUAAAUUAGUCUCCGGUAAAAUCCCAGCAGGGGGACUUCCCUGGUGGUCCAGGGGCUAAGACUACUCCAAAUGCAGGGGGUCCAGGGUCCCAUCCCUGGUCUGGGAACUAUAAUAGAUCCCACAUGCUACAAUUCAGAGUUCUCAUGUUGCAACUAAGAUCCAGUGAACCCAAAUACAUAAAUAUUUUUAAAAAACAAAACAACUGCCUCCCCCUCUCCCAGCAGGUUAGGCUCUCAUAAAAUAGUUUCUCCUAAGGGCAAGCCUGUUAAAAAGAAAGGAAUGCUCUAGGAUAUUUCAGAAUGGUUCCUUUCCCCUCCCCGUGUCAGAGGCAUGAGAGGAUUUUUCUCUGAUAUUCACUGUGAGGACCUGGUAGAGCCCUUGGAUAUAAAACUCACAAAAGUUUGGGUCCCACUAUAACUGGGUUCCCUUGGAGUUUUCAACUCCCAGACAUGUCUACACUAAACUUCCAGCAAUUUGUCAAUCACAGUUCAGGUUUUCCUUCUGACAUUGGUUCCAGUACAGGUUUCUGCUUAGGACAGAAUGAAGAUUUCUAGUCUUUUUAUAUGCUGGACCAGAAACCAGAAGUCCUCUACUUCUUUUUGUUCUUUUGUUUUUUCCUUUGCUACACUAUUUAAUUCAUUAUUUUCCCCAAUAUGUAUAACAUAAAGUUUACUGUCUUAAUCAUUUGUAAGUGUGUACUUUAGUGAUAUUAAAUACAUUCAUAAUA